GCUGUAAGAGAUACUCAGAUUGCCAAAGGGAUUAAAUCCAUCAAUGUCAAAUUUUGAUCAAAUGACUUCUAACUCCAUCAGUUCAUGAUUUUAAUAUGAAGUAAUUUUAUCAAAAACUCUAACUUGAAAAACUUUAUACAAUUUGGAUAGAGUGGCUCUCGUGCAUCCCUUACAAGUUUUGCAAACUAUUCAAAAGUUUCUUCUACC
rnacentral:lncRNA from 1 species